GCGCGCGCCAAAUGGGUGACCGAGCAGGGACGCCUCUUGCGCGGCACCGGCUCAAAAUAGAAGAAAACCGCCGGCCGGCGACUUGCAGGCAGAACUAUUUUCUUUUGCUGAUCGGUGGUCAUUCCGGUGCACCACGUGGUGCCAAACUAGGGGCUUCCUACAACCGCCUCGUUCAUACCUAUUGCGGCGCAAUCGUUGUUAGCAGCGUGCAAUGGGGCGGAAGCAAUGCCUGAAUUCGACUGGCGGUCGCCGGAAUCCUACAAGAG
rnacentral:misc_RNA from 1 species